GAAUGACGUGUGAGUUCCUGAUCAGAGAGAUGUUCAGGACUUCUGGGAUCUAUCAGCAGCUAAAGGAACCAGGGGCUCCUCAUCUUGAAUCUUUCUUGCACCUGCUCUAGUAAGAUGCCUCAGCUCACCUCUAUCCUGGGAGCAUGCCCAGAACCCACCUGUGCAGACAGAAGAGGUGGUCAUUUUAAAGUUCUGACCUAGAAAAGCCCAAACAUCAUCCUGACAAAGCAUGAUACUUUUUUGAAGACUGGGAAAUUUAAAAAUUGAAAGGAAGGUGUUUCAGAAGACAGUGGAUGGGAAAGUCAAUAAUAUGGUAAAAGUGUUGUCACAUAUAAUUACAAUAAAGCUAUUGGAAAGAGAUAUGAAGGUGGGAAAACCAAGCUCAGAAGUGGAUUUAACCCAAGUUCAUAUCCCUGGCAAGUGGCAGCAGAGGGAUCCAAACCAAGCACAUCGAAGAACAGCCUGUCCUGUGACCCUGGGAUGCACCGUCUCCAAGAGCUAAAGCAUCACACUAUGGAUAAUGGAACACACUCCUUUCAACAUUACUGGCUGGGGCUAGUUGAGCCUCAGUGUCUCCACUGAGUUAAUAGGGAUUUUGUAGGGAUAUUUUGUAGGGAUAUUUUGAAAGCUAAAAUUCAUAAUGUGUGCAAAAUGUUGGGCACGAAAAAUAUUUCAAUCAAUUAGCUGAUGAUGAGCUUUGAGAAUUCAGGUGGUAAGCAACACCCAGAUCCUGGCAACAUUAUCUUAGUUGAUGGUUCAUUCAUUGCAGUCCUCCAACACAGCGCUGAGAAAUGGGGAAAUGAGGCAGGGCUGUGCCCAGGGCCUGAGGGAGGAGGCUCUUUGGGAAAACCCAGGUGGCAUCCCAUCAGUAGACAUGCCUACAAGGAUUCCAGUCACAGAACUUUCUCUAUGGAAGUUCAGCCCUAUAGACUCACGCAGCCACAGACAAUGGCUGGGUGCAGUGGGGCAGAAGACUGGAGGGAAGAAUUUGUAAAAAUGCAGUCAUGUAGAUGGGGCUUCCCAGGUGACUCAGUGGUAUAGAAUCCGU